rnacentral:rRNA from 1 species
UACAGAGGUGGCAAGCGUUGUUCGGAAUCAUUGGGCGUAAAGGGUCCGUAGGCGGCCCGGAAAGUUGGAUGUGAAAUCCCACGGCUUAACCGUGGAAUUGCGUUCAAAACUUCCGGGCUAGAGUGUGAGAGGGGUAGAGGGAAUUCCCGGUGUAAGGGUGAAAUCUGCAGAGAUCGGGAGGAACACCAGUCGCGAAGGCGCUCUACUGGCUCAUGCCUGACGCUGAGGGACGAAAGCUAGGGGAG